GUGAGGAAUAUUGGUCAAUGGGCGAGAGCCUGAACCAGCCAAGUCGCGUGAAGGAAGACGGCCCUACGGGUUGUAAACUUCUUUUGCAAUGGAAUAAAAAGAGUUACGUGUAAUUCAUUGUAUGUACAUUGCGAAUAAGGAUCGGCUAACUCCGUGCCAGCAGCCGCGGUAAUACGGAGGAUCCGAGCGUUAUCUGGAUUUAUUGGGUUUAAAGGGUGCGUAGGCGGAUUGGAAAGUCAGCGGUGAAAGUUUGCAGCUUAACUGUAAAAUUGCCAUUGAAACUGUCAGUCUUGAGUGCAAAUGAGGUAGGCGGAAUGUGUUGUGUAGCGGUGAAAUGCAUAGAUAUAACACAGAACACCAAUUGUGAAGGCAGCUUACUGGGAUGCAACUGACGCUGAGGCACGAAAGCGUGGGGAUCAAACAGGAUUAGAAACCCGGGUAGUCC
rnacentral:rRNA from 1 species